UAAGUCCCGCAACGAGCGCAACCCACGUCCUCAGUUGCCAUCAUUCAGUUGGGCACUCUGGGGAGACUGCCGGUGAUAAGCCGCGAGGAAGGUGUGGAUGACGUCAAGUCCUCAUGGCCCUUACGGGAUGGGCUACACACGUGCUACAAUGGCGGUGACAGUGGGACGCGAAGGGGUGACCCUGAGCCAAUCUCCAAAAGCCGUCUCAGUUCGGAUUGCACUCUGCAACUCGAGUGCAUGAAGGCGGAAUCGCUAGUAAUCGUGGAUCAGCAUGCCACGGUGAAUACGUUCCCGGGCCUU
rnacentral:rRNA from 1 species